rnacentral:rRNA from 1 species
GAUGAACGCUGGCGGCGUGCCUAAUACAUGCAAGUCGAGCGAACGGACGAGAAGCUUGCUUCACUGGUGUUAGCGGAGGACGGGUGAGUAACACGUGGAUAACCUACCUAUAAGACUGGGAUAACUUCGGGAAACCGGAGCUAAUACCGGAUAAUAUUUUGAACCGCAUGGUUCAAAAGUGAAAGACGGUCUUGCUGUCACUUAUAGAUGGAUCCGCGCUGCAUUAGCUAGUUGGUAAGGUAACGGCUUACCAAGGCAACGAUGCAUAGCCGACCUGAGAGGGUGAUCGGCCACACUGGAACUGAGACACGGUCCAGACUCCUACGGGAGGCAGCAGUAGGGAAUCUUCCGCAAUGGGCGAAAGCCUGACGGAGCAACGCCGCGUGAGUGAUGAAGGUCUUCGGAUCGUAAAACUCUGUUAUUAGGGAAGAACAUAUGUGUAAGUAACUGUGCACAUCUUGACGGUACCUAAUCAGAAAGCCACGGCUAACUACGUG